rnacentral:rRNA from 1 species
UACGAAGGGGGCUAGCGUUGUUCGGAUUUACUGGGCGUAAAGCGCACGUAGGCGGAUCGUUAAGUCGAGGGUGAAAUCCUGGAGCUCAACUCCAGAACUGCCUUCGAUACUGGCGAUCUCGAGUCCGGAAGAGGUGAGUGGAACUCCUAGUGUAGAGGUGGAAUUCGUAGAUAUUAGGAAGAACACCAGUGGCGAAGGCGGCUCACUGGCCCGGUACUGACGCUGAGGUGCGAAAGCGUGGGGAGCAAACAGG